UUUUCAAAGUUUGUAUCCAAAUAGAAUACAUAUACAUGUAUAUAGUUUCCGAGAUAUAAGUUUGAUUAAAUAAAAUAUAUGGUAUGAUUGCCAAUGAGGCAACUAUACAGCAGAAUCCAAACAAAAGCGGAUUUAUAAAAAAGAAGAUGUGGUAUUAUUGUCAAUGAGACAACUAUCCACAAAAGACCAAAAUGACACAGACAUUAACAACUAUAGGUCACCGUACGGCCUUCAACAAUGAGCAAAGCCCAUACCGCAUAGUCAUCUAUAAAAGGCCCCGAUAAGACAAUGUAAAACAAUUCAAACGAGAAAACUAACGGCCUUAUUUAUGUAAAAAAAUGAACGAAAAACAAAUAUGUAACACAUAAACAAAAGACAACCACUGAAUUACAGGCUCCUGACUUGGGACAGGCACAUACAUAAAUAAUGUGGCGGGCUUAAACAUGUAAGCAGGAUCCCAACCUUUCCCUAACCUGGGACAGUGGUAUAACAGUACAAAAAAAAAAAGAGUAGGCUAAUGCCGCUACAAGGCAGCACUCGCACCCGCAAAGUGGAAAGGGAUUAAUAUAAGUUGCAAAACUUGUUUCCCAAUCCACUUUAAAUAAUAUGUUUAAACUAACAGUACAACAUUAGAACGAACUAUACAAAUUUAGCAACUUUAGGCUACCGUACGGCUUUCAACAAAGAGUAAAUCCGAUACCGUUUUCUUUAUACUUAAAUCAAAACUUUAUAGAAGAAAAAUACCUCUAUAAAGUUUACGCCGCCGACGCGCUUUUCUUGAUUAACCUACAUCAGAAACGCUAACCCGAA
rnacentral:lncRNA from 1 species